UACGGGGGUGGCAAGCGUUGUUCGGAAUUACUGGGCGUAAAGGGCGCGUAGGCGGGGAGGUAAGUCGAACGUGAAAUCCCUGGGCUCAACCCAGGAACUGCGUCCGAUACUGGUUGGCUUGAAUCCGGGAGAGGGAUGUGGAAUUCCAGGUGUAGCGGUGAAAUGCGUAGAUAUCUGGAGGAACACCGGUGGCGAAGGCGACAUCCUGGACCGGUAUUGACGCUGAGGCGCGAAAGCCAGGGGAGCAAACGGG
rnacentral:rRNA from 1 species